CACAUGCAAGUCGAGCGAUGAAGCACCUUCGGGUGUGAAUUAGCGGCGAACGGGUGAGGAACACGUGAAGAAUCUGCCUUCAACUCUGGGAUAACUCCGGGAAACCGGGGCUAAUACCGGAUAUGAGCCUUGAUCGCAUGAUCGGGGCUGGAAAGUUUUUCGGUUGAAGAUGACUUCGCGGCCUAUCAGCUUGUUGGUGAGGUAAUGGCUCACCAAGGCGACGACGGGUAGCCGGCCUGAGAGGGCGACCGGCCACACUGGGACUGAGACACGGCCCAGACUCCUACGGGAGGCAGCAGUGGGGAAUAUUGGGCAAUGGAGGAAACUCUGACCCAGCGACGCCGCGUGAGGGAUGAAGGCCUUCGGGUUGUAAACCUCUUUCAGUAGGGAAGAAGCGAAAGUGACGGUACCUACAGAAGAAGCACCGGCUAACUAUGUGCCAGCAGCCGCGGUAAUACAUAGGGUGCAAGCGUUGUCCGGAAUUAUUGGGCGUAAAGAGCUCGUAGGUGGUUCGAUACGUCGGAUGUGAAAAUCAGGGGCUCAACCCCUGACCUGCAUCCGAUACGGUCGAGCUAGAGUUUGGUAGGGGAGACUGGAAUUCCUGGUGUAGCGGUGGAAUGCGCAGAUAUCAGGAGGAACACCGAUGGCGAAGGCAGGUCUCUGGGCCAAUACUGACACUGAGGAGCGAAAGCGUGGGGAGCGAACAGGAUUAGAUACCCUGGUAGUCCACGCCGUAAACGGUGGGCGCUAGUUGUGCGAACCUUCCACGGUUUGUGCGACGCAGCUAACGCAUUAAGCGCCCCGCCUGGGGAGUACGAUCGCAAGAUUAAAACUCAAAGGAAUUGACGG
rnacentral:rRNA from 1 species